rnacentral:rRNA from 1 species
AUUGAACGCUGGCGGCAUGCUUUACACAUGCAAGUCGAACGGUAACAGGCCGCAAGGUGCUGACGAGUGGCGCACGGGUGAGUAAUGCAUCGGAACGUGCCCAGUCGUGGGGGAUAACUACUCGAAAGGGUAGCUAAUACCGCAUACGAUCUAUGGAUGAAAGCGGGGGACCGUAAGGCCUCGCGCGAUUGGAGCGGCCGAUGUCAGAUUAGGUAGUUGGUGGGGUAAAGGCUCACCAAGCCAACGAUCUGUAGCUGGUCUGAGAGGACGACCAGCCACACUGGGACUGAGACACGGCCCAGACUCCUACGGGAGGCAGCAGUGGGGAAUUUUGGACAAUGGGCGCAAGCCUGAUCCAGCAAUGCCGCGUGCAGGAAGAAGGCCUUCGGGUUGUAAACUGCUUUUGUACGGAACGAAACGGCUCUGGUUAAUACCCGGGGCUAAUGACGGUACCGUAAGAAUAAGCACCGGCUAACUACGUG